UCAAAUCCUGCCUCCGCCACUGUUUUCAAUCUGUGAAUUUAUGGGUUAUUACCAUGACUGUGAUGUGAUUUUGUGUUGAAAAAUUGAGGGUUUAGGCCCUGUUAUUUCUCUGUGCAUGCAUAACCAGUCCGGUGACGAACUUCGGUGAAAAAAUGUCGAGUUCGAAGCCAGCUUGUACGUACCUUCUCUGGGUUUUGGUUUCGUGUUGGUCUGAGGAUGAAACGUGGACUAUUUUGAGUCCAAAUAUGUGAUUCUAAUCCAUGCAUGCACCCUGUUCUUCUUUUCCAGUUUCCAGUGAGCUGGUUUGAAGGAAAUCGGUCAAAUCCGAGGUGGAUUCGACCCUAUUGCACCUAAAUCCGUUUUAGGUAUGUCCCUGGCCUUUUGGUAGUGUUUUCUACGAAUUUGGAAGGCAAUUUCAUGAAUUUUGGGACUGAAAUCAAGCUCUGCAAGUCUUGGAAACUUUUUGUAGAUUUCAGUGAGGCUCCGGCGUCGGUGAUUGGCAGCAGACGACAGUCGUCGUUAUGAUUAAUGGUGACAUCAGCAAAUCCGUUAUCACUUAAACUCUAACCGACAACUGACGCGUGGCAACAACGAUGGCAAGUGCGGCUCCUAUAUGGCGGCGAGUACAGCAACACGUUUACCGGUAACGGCGACCCGAUAGGGGCGCGUGACAUCAUAGCGCCAGCUCGUGGUGACGCGUGGUUGGAGCAUGGCAGUGCGUGCUUAGUAGAGAUUAAAAAGGAUUCACGCAAGGAGCCUAAUGAUGAAUGACGCUUUGCUUGCCAGUACUUAUAUUUUCAAAAAAGGCUAGAUUCACUAGUAGACGCUAGUCAUCAAUCAGGAUAUAGCAAGAACAAGGAUAAUCCAGGAAGUGGCGAGUGGGCUUGGUAGUGAGACCUUCACCUUCAGAUUUUGGUGAUAACUCUCUUAUUGCAGUUUACUUUAGUUUGUAAUAAUUGCAUGAUCAUACUUUCGAUUAUGCAUGAUAUUGCACUACUUUGUGUUUACUGUUGUAUGAAACUACUACCAGAUAUGGUAUGUUGUGAUAAUAAUGAGAUUGUAUCACUCAACAUGUGUCCCCAAGUGUUUUUUUUUG